ACGGACCAAGGAGUCUAACAUGUGUGCGAGUCAUUGGGCUCAGUAUAUAUCUAAAGGCGUAAUUAAAGUGAAUAAAAGAGCAGUACGGCGUGCGUGUCUUUCAAUGAUGCGGGCGUCGGAAGAAGGGCCGAUCCACUGCCGCCUACUCUCCUCCUCCUCAAGCAAUGCCAGGUGAGCUAUUUUCCCUGGCAUAUUCUGCUGUUGGGUUCUGUGGAGAGAGAGAGAGCGAGCAGUAGGCGCAGGCCCGGGACUUGCUGGCAAGACGCCGCGCGAGGACUAGAUCAAGCUCGAGUUCAGUGUUGAAGUCAGUUAUGUACGACGACGGUUAUGACGAUGGCGAUUAUUAUCGUCGUCCUCGGCGCCGUCGUCCUCUCUCUCUGUACGGAGCUGCGGUAGAGAGGGACAUUGUGCCAAGCGCGUGCUGCCAUAGGCAAGUACCACGAGUAGACAUGUUGGUACCCGAAAGAUGGUGAACUAUGCCUGGCCAGGAUGAAGCCAGAGGAAACUCUGGUGGAGGUCCGCAGCGAUUCUGACGUGCAAAUCGAUCGUCUGAGCUGGGUAUAGGGGCGAAAGACUAAUCGAAUCAUCUAGUAGCUGGUUCCCUCUGAAGUUUCCCUCAGGAUAGCUGGAACUCGCAGGACGAGUGCCUGUCCGGUAAAGAGAAUGACUAGAGGUCUUGGGGACGAAACGUCCUCAACCUAUUCUCAAACUUUAAAUGGGCGGGAUGCCGAGCUUGCUUGAAUGCUGAAGCUCCGGCGAUUAAUCAGAGUAUCUAGUGGGCUAUUUUUGGUAAGCAGAACUGGCGCUGUGGGAUGAACCAAACGUCGAGUUAAGGGGCCUAAAAAAAUGCUAAUUCAGAGCCCACCGAAAGGUGUUGGUUGCUAUAGACAGCAGGACGGUGGCCAUGGAAGUUGGAAUCCGCUAAGGAGUGUGUAACAACUCACCUGCCGAAGCAACUAGCCCUUAAAAUGGUAUGGCGCUGAAGCAUUGUCCCGAUACUCGACCGCCGGGGCACUAGAGGCCACGUCCCAGAGGCGAGGUCUCGAAGCCCCGGUGAGUAAGAGGGUCGCAGUGGUGAGCGCAGAAGGGAUCCGGCGUGAGCCGGCCUGGAGCCACCACUGGUGCAGAUCUUGGUGGUAGUAGCAAAUACUCGAGAGAGACUCCCUUGAAGACCGAAGUGGAGAAGGGUUCCAUGUGAACAUCAGUUGGACAUGGGUUAGUCGCUCCUAAGCCCAAGGCAAAGGCCUGAUCCCACGCUAGCGGCAAAGAAUUUGGCCCACGGCAUGCGCAACAGCAACGGCAGCAGCAGCAUCAGCCGCAGACGGAUGUGCGAUUGAGAAAUCUCGUCACCAGAUAGCAUAAGCUGCUGCUUGCCUGCCGCUUGUAUGUUGCCAGGGAUUAGUGGCGAAAGGGAAUACGGUACUUAUUCCGUAACCUGGUCUCGGAUAAAAAAAACCAGGCAGGCUCUAGUGGAACAGCAAGCGAGCUCUCGAAAGGGAGUUUUUCUAGCUGUGGCUGCUUUGGCUUCUGCUCUGUGUUGUGAGGACCCCGGUAACGGGAACCAGCUCGCGCCCAUCGGCGGUGGUCCGGGAAAGAGUUUUCUUUUCUGUUUAAGGCGCCGUGACCCUAGAAAUCAUCCGCAGGGAGAAAGGGUAUUGGUAACACGGUUAGCCGUAGAGCGCCGCGGGUCUUGUGGCGUCCCGCGUGCCACCGCCGGUCCUUGAAACCGCGAGGGAGGUAACUCUGGCUAUAAUUAUAAUAAUAAUGUCUCUGGGUCGGGACUCCGCGCCCGCCCAAUAGACAGAAGUUAGAAAAAAAACAGCCUAAUUUCGGACCAGUGCGUACCCAUAUCCGCAGCCGGUCUCCAAGGUAAGCAGCCUCUGGUCGAUGGACUAAUGUAG
rnacentral:rRNA from 1 species